rnacentral:lncRNA from 1 species
CCAGGACCUGCCGCGUGGUAAGACCACGUCGACCCGGGAACAGGCCACGUGGGCGAUCCGCGUGCGCGCGAUCGGACGGCCCAGAUGCGCCCCCGCGCGCACAGACGGCCCAGAUGCAAGCGCACAGACGGCCCAAAUGCACGCGCACGGACGGCCCAGAUUCAAUCAAGCACGGACGGCCCAGAUUUAAUCAAAAUGGACGGCUGUGAUAAAAAGGCAAAAGGGUAUAAAUAAAACCCCCAC